rnacentral:rRNA from 1 species
GAUGAACGCUGGCGGCGUGCUUAACACAUGCAAGUCGAACGAAGCGACUAUGAUUGAGAUUUCGGUUGAUUGAUUAGUUGACUUAGUGGCGGACGGGUGAGUAACGCGUGAGUAACCUGCCUUACAGAGGGGGACAACAGUUGGAAACGACUGCUAAUACCGCAUAACGUAUAACCGAGGCAUCUCGGAUAUACCAAAGGAGCAAUCCGCUGUAAGAUGGACUCGCGUCCAAUUAGAUAGUUGGUGGGGUAACGGCCCACCAAGUCGACGAUUGGUAGCCGGACUGAGAGGUUGAACGGCCACAUUGGGACUGAGACACGGCCCAGACUCCUACGGGAGGCAGCAGUAGGGGAUAUUGCACAAUGGGGGAAACCCUGAUGCAGCAACGCCGCGUGAGGGAAGAAGGUUUUCGGAUUGUAAACCUCUGUUUUUAGUGAAGAAACAAAUGACGGUAGCUAAAGAGGAAGCCACGGCUAACUACGUG